rnacentral:rRNA from 1 species
AUGACGGCCUUUCUGAUCUCAUUCGUUUUCCGAUCGCAUAAAAAGUCAUGUGAAGGUACGUUCUUAAAAUAUUCGUUCCGUUGGAAAAACCAACACCGACGUCAAGAUCAGUCUCCCUUUCUUUUAUCGGGAGCAGAGCUAAAAAAGAUGGGAAAUUUAUAA